UAUCACAGCGGUCAUCUCAAAGCGAAUCAAUCUUUCGCCUUUUACUAAAGAUUGCCGUGUGGCAUGACUGCACACAUGUGAACU
rnacentral:snRNA from 1 species